GACAAGCCCUGGAAACGGGGUCUAAUACCGGAUAAUACUCUGUUCCGCAUGGGACGGGGUUGAAAGCUCCGGCGGUGAAGGAUGAGCCCGCGGCCUAUCAGCUUGUUGGUGGGGUGAUGGCCUACCAAGGCGACGACGGGUAGCCGGCCUGAGAGGGCGACCGGCCACACUGGGACUGAGACACGGCCCAGACUCCUACGGGAGGCAGCAGUGGGGAAUAUUGCACAAUGGGCGAAAGCCUGAUGCAGCGACGCCGCGUGAGGGAUGACGGCCUUCGGGUUGUAAACCUCUUUCAGCAGGGAAGAAGCGCAAGUGACGGUACCUGCAGAAGAAGCGCCGGCUAACUACGUGCCAGCAGCCGCGGUAAUACGUAGGGCGCAAGCGUUGUCCGGAAUUAUUGGGCGUAAAGAGCUCGUAGGCGGCUUGUCACGUCGGAUGUGAAAGCCCGGGGCUUAACCCCGGGUCUGCAUUCGAUACGGGCUAGCUAGAGUGUGGUAGGGGAGAUCGGAAUUCCUGGUGUAGCGGUGAAAUGCGCAGAUAUCAGGAGGAACACCGGUGGCGAAGGCGGAUCUCUGGGCCAUUACUGACGCUGAGGAGCGAAAGCGUGGGGAGCGAACAGGAUUAGAUACCCUGGUAGUCCACGCCGUAAACGUUGGGAACUAGGUGUUGGCGACAUUCCACGUCGUCGGUGCCGCAGCUAACGCAUUAAGUUCCCCGCCUG
rnacentral:rRNA from 1 species